UCUCUUCCUGUCUCUCGUCCCAGCAGCAUCUCACUCCCCAGCCAUCUCAUCGUUGGCAUUAGAGUGAAUCCCUGAACAACUGAGAGAAAAGAAAAUAUGUCUCUGCACAGGUCAGUGAAGGCCAUGCAACAAACGUUUAUGCAGGUGGAUGAAGAGCUGUGCCCACAAACACAGACAGGACAAGGACAAAGCAGCUGGAGUAAUCCCUGAGGAUGUCAGUUGGGAAUGUGCAUAUGACCAGUAACAUGAGCACAUAAAAACUCCCCACAUCUGCCUGGAGAAUAAAGUCAUGCUCUUUGCCUCUUG